CAGCAGCCGCGGUAAUACGAAGGGUGCAAGCGUUAAUCGGAAUUACUGGGCGUAAAGCGUGCGUAGGUGGUUUGUUAAGUCUGCUGUGAAAUCCCCGGGCUCAACCUGGGAAUGGCAGUGGAUACUGGCAAGCUAGAGUGUGUCAGAGGAUGGUGGAAUUCCCGGUGUAGCGGUGAAAUGCGUAGAGAUCGGGAGGAACAUCAGUGGCGAAGGCGGCCAUCUGGGACAACACUGACGCUGAGGCACGAAAGCGUGGGGAGCAAACAGGAUUAGAUACCCCCGUAGUCCCUGUCUCUUAUAC
rnacentral:rRNA from 1 species